GAUGAACGCUGGCGGCGUGCCUAAUACAUGCAAGUCGAACGCUGGAAAUCUAGCUUGCUAGAUUGAAGGAGUGGCGAACGGGUGAGUAAUACAUAAGCAACCUACCCACGAAGACUGGGAUAAUCUCUGGAAACGGGGACUAAUACCGGAUAGGUAAUCGGAAGGCAUCUUCUGAUUAUUAAAGGUUAAAAACACUGGUGGAUGGGCUUAUGGCGCAUUAGUUAGUUGGUGAGGUAACGGCCCACCAAGACGAUGAUGCGUAGCCGGCCUGAGAGGGUGAACGGCCACAUUGGGACUGAGACACGGCCCAGACUCCUACGGGAGGCAGCAGUAGGGGAUUUUCGGCAAUGGGGGAAACCCUGACCGGGCAACGCCGCGUGAGUGAUGACGGCCUUCGGGUUGUAAAGCUCUGUUGUAAGGGAAGAACGGUAGAUAGAGAAUAUCUAAAUGACGGUACCUUACCAGAAAGCCACGGCUAACUACGUG
rnacentral:rRNA from 1 species